rnacentral:rRNA from 1 species
GACGAACGCUGGCGGCGUGCUUAACACAUGCAAGUCGAACGGAAAGGCCCUGCUUUUGUGGGGUGCUCGAGUGGCGAACGGGUGAGUAACACGUGAGUAACCUGCCCUUGACUUUGGGAUAACCUCAGGAAACUGGGGCUAAUACCGGAUAGGAGCUCCUGCUGCAUGGUGGAGGUUGGAAAGUUUCGGCGGUUGGGGAUGGACUCGCGGCUUAUCAGCUUGUUGGUGGGGUAGUGGCUUACCAAGGCUUUGACGGGUAGCCGGCCUGAGAGGGUGACCGGCCACAUUGGGACUGAGAUACGGCCCAGACUCCUACGGGAGGCAGCAGUGGGGAAUAUUGCACAAUGGGCGGAAGCCUGAUGCAGCAACGCCGCGUGCGGGAUGACGGCCCUCGGGUUGUAAACCGCUUUCGCCUGUGACGAAGCGUGAGUGACGGUAAUGGGUAAAGAAGCACCGGCUAACUACGUG